rnacentral:rRNA from 1 species
AGAGUUUGAUCAUGGCUCAGAUUGAACGCUGGCGGCAUGCUUAAUACAUGCAAGUCGAACGGUAACAUGCCCUCCGGGGUGAUGACGAGUGGCGGACGGGUGAGUAACGCAUAGGAAUCUACCUAGUAGUGGGGGACAACUUGGGGAAACUCAAGCUAAUACCGCAUACAUCCUACGGGAAAAAGAGGGCCUCUUCUUGAAAGCUCUUGCUAUUAGAUGAGCCUAUGUCAGAUUAGCUUGUUGGUGGGGUAACGGCCUACCAAGGCGACGAUCUGUAGCUGGUCUGAGAGGAUGAUCAGCCACACUGGGACUGAGACACGGCCCAGACUCCUACGGGAGGCAGCAGUAGGGAAUAUUGGACAAUGGGCGCAAGCCUGAUCCAGCAAUGCCGCGUGUGUGAAGAAGGCCUGCGGGUUGUAAAGCACUUUCCAUUAGGAAGAAAAGCUCAAGGUUAAUAACCUUGAGUCUUGACAUUAUCAAUAGAAGAAGCACC